rnacentral:lncRNA from 1 species
GCCAAAAAGCGUCCUAAGAGAGAAGCAUGGUGCGCUAGGAAUUUCCCAAAAGAAGGUCUUCAUGCUUUCUAAGGGAGGUAUCUAGGUUCCUAUCCGUUUCUUAAGGGAGGCAGGAUAGUCACACAGUUGCCCAUAAGGAGCGUCCUAAGAGAGACGCUGGGUGCGCUAGGAAUUUCCCAAAAGAAGGUCUCCAUGCUUUUUUAGGGAGGUAUCCAGGUCCCUAUCCGUUUCCUAAGGGAGGCAGGAUAGUCAUGCAAUUGCCCAUAAGCAGCGUCCUUUGGGAGACGCAGGGCAACGACCAAGGCAUCCUACGGAACGUGC